rnacentral:lncRNA from 1 species
CGGCGGCUGUACCCAAUUUGGCGGGAGGAGCAGGCAUAGAGACAGUGACCUAAAGUGUUGACAGUUCAAAGGCUUGUAUUAUAACAAUUAAGAUGUCAGUGUUACACAGCUGAAUAUGCAUGUACAUUGCCAAGUAGCUUGAAGAACAUGAAAGGGACCAGGAUUAAUCAUUUUGCCAUUCCUUGGCAAUUAUGACAGAAGCUCAAGCACCUAUCAUGAAGCCAUAAAUAAAGUUAUUUAAUCCUUUUAAAACUGAAAACAUUCUUUUAAAACUUGGUUACAGUUCUUUCCAAUGAAUAAAAUACAUUAACAGAUUCAUGUAAUACCAUUAUAAAUGUGGAAGUUUUUAAAUGAAGUUUGGCUGUGAAAUCACCUCUAUGACACUUACAAAAAUAAAUUCAAAUGAAAAUACAGACUGG